GGAGGCAAACCCGCUGAACUGAAACAUCUAAGUAGGCGGAGGAAGAGAAAACAAUAGUGAUUUCCGUAGUAGCGGCGAGCGAAGUGGAAAUAGCCCAAACCGGUUUUGUUUCGGCAAAAUCGGGGUUGUAGGACUACGAUAUCCGUAAGCAAGUAUAGCAGAACCAUCUGGAAAGUUGGGCGAUAUAGGUGACAGCCCUGUAUGCGAAAUGCUUGUGAAGGUAGUAGUAUCCUGAGUAGGGCGGGACAUGUGAAAUCCUGUCUGAAUCUGCCAGAACCAUCUGGUAAGGCUAAAUACUCCUGAGAGACCGAUAGCGAACGAGUACUGUGAAGGAAAGGUGAAAAGAACCCUGAACAAGGGAGUGAAAAAGACCCUGAAACCGUGUGUCUACAAGCGGUCGGAGCCUUUAUGGGCGACGGCGUGCCUUUUGCAUAAUGAUCCUACGAGUUACUCCUCAUUGGCAAGGUUAAGAUUUUAAGGAUCGAAUCCGAAGCGAAAGCGAGUCUGAAUAGGGCGAUAUAGUCAGUGGGGGUAGACGCGAAACCUUGUGAUCUACCCAUGGCCAGGUUGAAGUUUUGGUAACACAAAAUGGAGGACCGAACCAGUACACGUUGAAAAGUGUUUGGAUGAGCUGUGGGUAGGGGUGAAAGGCCAAUCAAACUGGGAAAUAGCUCGUACUCCCCGAAAUGCAUUUAGGUGCAGCGUUGCGGUAGAGUAUUAUAGAGGUAGAGCUACUGAUAGGGCUAGGGGGCUUCACCGCCUACCAAACCCUGACAAACUCCGAAUGCUAUAAUAUAUACGCAGCAGUGAGGGCAUGGGUGCUAAGGUCCAUGUCCGAGAGGGAAAGAACCCAGAUCAUCAGCUAAGGCCCCCAAAUGUAUGUUAAGUUGAUCAAACGUUGUGCGAUUGCAUAGACAGCUAGGAUGUUGGCUUGGAAGCAGCCAUUCAUUUAAAGAGUGCGUAACAGCUCACUAGUCGAGCGAUCGUGCGUGGAUAAUAAUCGGGCAUUAAACAUACUGCCGAAGCUAUGACAUCGAAAGAUGGGUAGGGGAGCAUUCUAUGUGCGUUGAAUGUGAAGGGUGACCUUUGCUGGAGCGCAUAGAAAAGCAAAUGUAGGAAUAAGUAACGAUAAAGCAGGCGAGAAACCUGCUCACCAAUAGACUAAGGUUUCCUAGGCGACGCUAAUCGUCCUAGGGUUAGUCGGGACCUAACGCGAACCCGAGAGGGGUAGUGGAUGGAUAAUGGGUUAAUAUUCCCAUACUUGUAUUAACUGCGAUGGGGUGACGGAGUGAUGACCGAACCGCGUACUGACGGAAUAGUACGUUAAAGGGUGUAGAUAUUGGGACUGUAGGCAAAUCCGCAGACCUAGUCGAACCUGAUAGUACCACAAAGCUUCGGCUGCGUGGAUAGUGUUCCUAAACGCUUCCAAGAAAAACCUCUAAGCUUCAGGUUAAUACAACUCGUACCGCAAACCAACACAGGUAGUCAAGUAGAGAAUACUAAGGUGCUCGAGUGAUUCAUGGCUAAGGAACUAGGCAAAAUGGUCUCGUAACUUCGGGAGAAGAGACGCUCCGCUUUGGCGGAGCCGCAGUGAAUAGGCCCAGGCGACUGUUUAUCAAAAACACAUGGCUUUGCAAAAUCGAAAGAUGACGUAUAAGGCCUGACACCUGCCCGGUGCCGGAAGGUUAAGUGGAGAUGUUAGCUUCGGCGAAGCAUUCAAAUGAAGCCCCGGUAAACGGCGGCCG
rnacentral:rRNA from 13 species